rnacentral:lncRNA from 1 species
AAAAAAAGAGAGGAAAAAAAAAAAAAAAGCGAAAAAAAAAAGAUUAAGCAUGAUUCUUAACAUCAAUUACAUAACUGCUGUUAAAUUAUUUUGCCGUUAACACGGUUUACUGAUCGAACGCUAUGUUACAUUUUUUAUUAAAAUAAUUAGAUUACAAAUAAAAAUUACGCAUAAAAAUUGCACAUAAAAAUUGCACAUAAAAAUUGCACAUAAAAAUUACAAAUAAAAAUUAAAAAUAAAAAUUAAAAAUAAAAAUUAAAAAUAAAAAUAGGUGUUCGUGCAAAUGUGCGUACUUACCAAGAUAAAUGCAAGAAAGAACAAAGGUACACGCAAACAUACCUAUACAAACACAUAUAUACAUAUAUAUAAAAUAAAUAAAUAUAUAUAUAUAUAUAUAUAUAUAUAUACAAUUCUAAAAUGUAUGACAUGAAUUAACACAUUAUAUGUGUCUCGUCUCAGUUAAUAAUUAAGAUAUAUAAAUAUAUAAUAAGUACACUCUUUUUUAUGUCCUAAUUCUUAAAAAAAUAAAUAGUACGAGUCAUAAUAAUAAUUUAGCAUGAUUAACCUUUUAUAUCAUUUAUGUAUUUUGUUGUUUUUACCCCUCCUACAUCUUCAAUAAAAAAUUAGUAAAUCCAACAUAAUGUCAUAAAAUCUCAAAUGUUUGUAACAUGGCGUCAAUAUUUUUUUUUUUUUUUUUUUUUUUUGCUUAACAAGCAAUCAUUUUUUUAUUUUGCUAAUAUGUUUGUCCACUUAGUUAAUAAUGUAUACAUAUAUAUAUAUAUAUGCAUGUAUGUAUAUACACUCACACGAUUUCUAAUACCUUUGAUAAUAACUUUGUUGACCUUAUUGUUGAUUAUUUGACUGACCGUACUGCUGAUAACUUGGCUGACCNNNNNNNNNNCAUUUUGUUGAUUAUUUGGUUGACCAUAUUGUUGAUUAUUUGGUUGAUUAUAUUGUUGAUUACUCGUUUGGGUACUACUAGGUUGUACUCCUUGGUUAUUAUUUGAUAACAUACCUACUCCUUGUUGUUGUUGCUGUUGUUUGUAUGGGCAACUGUUAUAACCUCUACUAUCCAAAGCAGCAUUAUUAGAUGUACUAUUUGGGUUAAAUACUGUUCUAUUAGUUAAAUGAUCAUUAUUACAUCUUAACAUGUUAUUAUGUUGAUUAUAAUUGGACAUAGUAGCAUAUGUAUUGUUAUCGUUCUUAUUACAAAAGGGUCUAUUGUUAUCACUUCCAAUAUUGUAAUUCGGUGAUGUUAUAUUAGUAUUGGGAUUGUCAUGGCCUAAUAAGGGUGCAUAACUAUAAUUUUGUGGAUUGUUUGGUACAUACAUUUGACGAUUAUACAAGGAGGCGUCAUUAUUUCCAGCACGUGAAUAAUUCGGAUUGUAAUUUGGUUGAUUAUAUAACAUGUGAUUAUUAGUGUUAGCAUUAUUAGGGAUAGGAGUAUUAUUAUAAUACAUACCACUUGUA